GUGUUCGCUUCGGCAGCACAUAUACUAAAAUUGGAACGAUACAGAGAAGAUUAGCAUGGCCCCUGUGCAAGGAUGAAAAUAUGUAUUUGGGAAACCUCAUCAGUGAAA